rnacentral:rRNA from 1 species
GAUGAACGCUGGCGGCGUGCCUAAUACAUGCAAGUCGAGCGAACAGACGAGGAGCUUGCUCCUCUGACGUUAGCGGCGGACGGGUGAGUAACACGUGGAUAACCUACCUAUAAGACUGGGAUAACUUCGGGAAACCGGAGCUAAUACCGGAUAAUAUAUUGAACCGCAUGGUUCAAUAGUGAAAGACGGUUUUGCUGUCACUUAUAGAUGGAUCCGCGCCGCAUUAGCUAGUUGGUAAGGUAACGGCUUACCAAGGCAACGAUGCGUAGCCGACCUGAGAGGGUGAACGGCCAGAAGGGAACUGAGACACGGACCAGACUCCUACGGGAGGCAGCAGUAGGGAAUCUUACGCAAUGGGCGAAAGCCUGAAGGAGCAACGCCGCGUGAGUGAUGAAGGUCUUCGGAUCGUAAAACUCUGUUAUUAGGGAAGAACAAAUGUGUAAGUAACUAUGCACGUCUUGACGGUACCUAAUCAGAAAGCCACGGCUAACUACGUG